rnacentral:rRNA from 1 species
UACGUAGGGUGCGAGCGUUGUCCGGAAUUAUUGGGCGUAAAGAGCUUGUAGGAGGUUUGUCGCGUCUGCUGUGAAAAUCCAGGGCUCAACCCCGGACUUGCAGUGGGUACGGGCAGACUAGAGUGUGGUAGGGGAGACUGGAAUUCCUGGUGUAGCGGUGAAAUGCGCAGAUAUCAGGAGGAACACCGAUGGCGAAGGCAGGUCUCUGGGCCACUACUGACGCUGAGAAGCGAAAGCAUGGGGAGCGAACAGGAUUAGAUA